rnacentral:rRNA from 1 species
CGUGUAGGCGGUUUGUCAAGUCGGGUGUGAAAGCCUGGGGCUCAGCCCCAGAAGUGCAUCCGAAACUAGCGAGCUAGAGCGCGAUAGAGGAGGGUGGAAUCCCUGGUGUAGCGGUGAAAUGCGUAGAUAUCAGGAGGAACACCGGCGGCGAAGGCGGCCCUCUGGAUCGUUGCUGACGCUGAGACGCGAAAGCGUGGGGAGCAAACAGGAUUAGAUACCCUGGUAGUCCACGCCUUAAACGAUGGGUACUAGGUGUUCGGGGUGUUGACCCCCUGAGUGCCGCAGUUAACGCAUUAAGUACCCCGCCUGGGGACUACGGCCGCAAGGUUAAA